rnacentral:rRNA from 1 species
UACAGAGGUCCCGAGCGUUGUUCGGAUUCACUGGGCGUAAAGGGUGCGUAGGUGGUGAGGUAAGUCGGAUGUGAAAUCUCCGGGCUCAACCCGGAAAUGGCAUUGGAAACUACCUUGCUGGAGGAUUUGAGGGGGAUUGGAAUACUUGGUGUAGCAGUGAAAUGCGUAGAUAUCAAGUGGAACACCAGUGGCGAAGGCGAAUCCCUGGAAAAUACCUGACACUGAGGCACGAAAGCUAGGGGAGCAAACAGG